ACGAACGCUGGCGGCGUGCCUAAUACAUGCAAGUCGAACGCUUCUUUCCUCCCGAGUGCUUGCACUCAAUUGGAAAGAGGAGUGGCGGACGGGUGAGUAACACGUGGGUAACCUACCCAUCAGAGGGGGAUAACACUUGGAAACAGGUGCUAAUACCGCAUAACAGUUUAUGCCGCAUGGCAUAAGAGUGAAAGGCGCUUUCGGGUGUCGUUGAUGGAUGGACCCGCGGUGCAUUAGCUAGUUGGUGAGGUAACGGCUCACCAAGGCCACGAUGCAUAGCCGACCUGAGAGGGUGAUCGGCCACACUGGGACUGAGACACGGCCCAGACUCCUACGGGAGGCAGCAGUAGGGAAUCUUCGGCAAUGGACGAAAGUCUGACCGAGCAACGCCGCGUGAGUGAAGAAGGUUUUCGGAUCGUAAAACUCUGUUGUUAGAGAAGAACAAGGACGUUAGUAACUGAACGUCCCCUGACGGUAUCUAACCAGAAAGCCACGGCUAACUACGU
rnacentral:rRNA from 1 species